CAGCCGCCGCGGGAAAACGAAGGGUGCAAGCGUUACUCGGAAUUACUGGGCGUAAAGCGUGCGUAGGUGGUGGUUUAAGUCCGUUGUGAAAGCCCUGGGCUCAACCUGGGAAUUGCAGUGGAUACUGGGUCACUAGGGUGUGGUAGAGGAUAGUGGAAUUUCCGGUGUAGCAGUGAAAUGCGUAGAGAUCGGAAGGAACAUCUGUGGCGAAGGCGACUAUCUGGGCCAACACUGACACUGAGGCACGAAAGCGUGGGGAGCAAACAGGAUUAGAUACCCCCGUAGUCCCUGUCUCUUAUAC
rnacentral:rRNA from 1 species